GGUGCAUCUACAAUGGAUUUCGAAUUUGAUUUAAUCAAAUUCAGUUCUAUAGAUUCACUAGAUUGUGUUGGUUCUUAUACCUAUCGAACUUCAUAAGUUUCACAUCAAAAGCAUCAGUUCCUUCACCAAGGUACUAUUUUUUUAAAAGAAAUGCUGAACAACUUUUAUUCUUCAGCAAGGUAGAAGUUAUAUUCUCUAGAUUCUUUGGGGUAUCC
rnacentral:lncRNA from 1 species